rnacentral:rRNA from 1 species
ACGCGUAGACUCGAGAGAUACUUGAAAGGGAAACGAUUGAAGUCAGUCAUGCCGGCGGGAAUCAACUUAGGGGAAACUCUGGGUGCACUUCCUCGUCUGGCAGGUUAGCAUCAAUUUUGAUUGUCAUCAAAUAAUUGGGGUAAUGUGGCUUCCCUUCGGUGGAGUGUUAUAGACCCUGGUGGAUGUGGCGAUUGGGAUUGAGGAUUGCAGCGGAUGCCUCUUGGCUAGUCACCUGAUUCCUGGCUGUCACCUCGCUUUCGACAGCUUGCU